rnacentral:rRNA from 1 species
AGAGUGAACGCUGGCGGUAGGCCUAACACAUGCAAGUCGAACGGCAGCACGGUAAGAGCUUGCUCUUAUGGGUGGCGAGUGGCGGACGGGUGAGGAAUACAUCGGAAUCUACCUUUUGGUGGGGGAUAACGUAGGGAAACUUACGCUAAUACCGCAUACGCCCUUCGGGGGAAAGCCGGGGACCAGCAAUGGCCUGGUGCUGAUAGAUGAGCCGAUGUCGGAUUAGCUAGUUGGUGAGGUAAUGGCUCACCAAGGCGACGAUCCGUAGCUGGUCUGAGGAGGAUGAUCAGCCCACACGUAGGGAACU